GGAGAGAUGUCCGAGCGGUUUAUGGUGACGGUCUUGAAAACCGUUGUGCGAAAGCACCGGGGGUUCGAAUCCCUCUCUCUCCGCCA
rnacentral:tRNA from 1 species